CUGCUGCUCAUGCCCCCAGCGCUGGUUCCUUUACCCACCUGAGAAGACGCCAGAGUUCCACCCCAACAAGACCACGCUGGCCUGGCUCCGGGACACAUACCCAGCCCUGCCACCGUCUGCACGGCCCCUGGAGUGUACCAUCCGGGCUGGUGAGGUGCUGUACUUCCCCGACCGCUGGUGGCAUGCUACGCUCAACCUUGACACCAGCGUCUUCAUCUCCACCUUCCUCGGCUAGCCAAAACAGCUGGCAGGACUGCCGGUCACACACCAGCACGUCCCACCUCGUGCUCACGGAUUUUAUUACACAGAUAGUGGCGGCAAUGGCCUCAGCCCAGCCCACCCUCACCUGCUUUUCCAGCCCACAAAGGGGGACGAUCACGGCCCAGCAAAAGCGAUGCUGAGAGGGGAAACAGUCCAGAGUCCAACAGCAGAACUUGGGGGAAGCGGUCGGGGUGGCCAGGAACAUAAACUAUGUAUAGGGGCCGGGGGCUUCUGCCCAGGGCUCCCCUGGACCAGGACGCCAGGUAGGGCAGGGAACCUCAGUAGUCCUCCACCCAGCCAUUCUCAGAGAUGAAUGCGUCAAUAACCUCCUUCAUAGCCAAGUUGGGGAUGAGCUGUUCCUGGGUCAGGGGGCUCCGGGUCACGGGGUCAAAAUGACCCACACGCUGCAGUGACAAGAAGGGCAGAGGGCAGUCAUGGGGCCCAGGACCAUGCCACUGGCCCUGCUCCCCCAGCCGCAGGCCUCACCUGCAGGUGCUCCUCGAUGUCCUUGCGGUCGUAGGUGAUGCCACUGGGCGUGAUGCACGGCUCCCGCAUCAGCUCAAAGCUGAUCUUGCCACACAGGUAGUCGGGGAUGUCUCGCUUCUGUGGCACAGGGGCACACGGUCAGAGGCUGAAAAGGGGCACUGCACGAGCACCUGCCAGCCAUCGGCAGCAAGCGACACACACUCACCUU
rnacentral:lncRNA from 1 species